GACAGAGGGUGCAAACGUUGUUCGGAAUUACUGGGCGUAAAGCGAGUGUAGGCGGUCUGUAAAGUCGGGUGUGAAAGCCCCGGGCUCAACCCGGGAAGUGCACUCGAAACUCACAGGCUAGAGUAUCGGAGAGGUUGGUGGAAUUCUCGGUGUAGAGGUGAAAUUCGUAGAUAUCGAAAGGAACACCGGUGGCGAAGGCGGCCAACUGGACGAAUACUGACGCUGAGACUCGAAAGCGUGGGGAGCAAACAGG
rnacentral:rRNA from 1 species